UUAUGGCCAUAUCACAUUGAAACAUUGGUUCACAUACAAUCACCAAAGUUAAGCAAUGUCAAGCCUGGUUAGUACCUAGAUGGGUGACCACUGAGAAUACCAGAUGCUGUA